rnacentral:rRNA from 1 species
CGAGACGAUUGAAAGCUUGCUUUUGAAAGUCGAGUGGCAAACGGGUGAGUAACGCGUAGACAACCUGCCGUAAAGAUGGGGACAACAGUCCGAAAGGACUGCUAAUACCGAAUGUUGUGGAACUUCCGCAUGGGAGCUCCACUAAAGAUGACCUCUACUUGUAAGCUAUCGCUUUACGAUGGGUCUGCGUCUGAUUAGCUAGUUGGUGGGGUAACGGCUUACCAAGGCGACGAUCAGUAGCCGGUCUGAGAGGAUGAACGGCCACAUUGGAACUGAGACACGGUCCAGACUCCUACGGGAGGCAGCAGUGGGGAAUCUUCCGCAAUGGGCGCAAGCCUGACGGAGCAACGCCGCGUGAGUGAAGAAGGGUUUCGACUCGUAAAGCUCUGUUGUCGGGGACGAAUGUGGAGGUUGUGAAUAACAGCUUCCAAUGACGGUACCUGACGAGGAAGCCACGGCUAACUACGUGCCAGCAGCCGCGGUAAUACGUAGGUGGCGAGCGUUGUCCGGAAUUAUUGGGCGUAAAGGGAGCGCAGGCGGGAGGUCAAGUCUAUCUUAAAAGUGCGGGGCUCAACCCCGUGAGGGGAUGGAAACUGGUCUUCUUGAGUGCAGGAGAGGAAAGCGGAAUUCCUAGUGUAGCGGUGAAAUGCGUAGAUAUUAGGAGGAACACCAGUGGCGAAGGCGGCUUUCUGGACUGUAACUGACGCUGAGGCUCGAAGCGUGGGGAGCGAA